GACGAACGCUGGAGGUAUGCCUCAUACAUGCAAGUCGUACGAGAUUGUUAGAGCUUGCUUUAACAUGACAGUGGCGCACGGGUGAGUAACGCGUGGGUAACCUGCCCUAAAGUUUGGGAUAACCCUGGGAAACCAGGACUAAUACCGAAUAACCUUUACCAUCGUAUGGUGGUUUAGUAAAAGAUGCCCUCUGAAUAUGGUAUCGCUAUGGGAGGGGCCUGCGUCCUAUUAGUUAGUUGGUGGGGUAACGGCCUACCAAGACCGAGAUGGGUAGCCGGCUUGAGAGAGUGAUCGGCCACACUGGAACUGAGACACGGUCCAG
rnacentral:rRNA from 1 species